rnacentral:lncRNA from 1 species
CUGUGGGCAGUGCCUGACCCAGGAGCCUGGCCUGCGAGUCAGCUUGGGCAAGGCGCUUCCCCGCCCUAGGCUGCCUCCGUUUCCUUUUCUGGAAGAUGAAAGAAGACAGAGGGUCUGCCUGUCCAGAGCAGGGCUGGGAUCAAAGAAUGGACUGGAAGGAACAAUGGCCACCACCGUCCACUCUGUGCUUCUCCCCAGCUGGGCUGAGUCUUCGCGAGGGUACCACUGUCGCCCCCAGGGGCUACUCCAUAGGAGAUGCACACAGCAGAUGGAGCUAAACAACACUUUCCUGACUGGGCUGUGUCUAUCAGAAGGCUUACUCCUGCUCCCACCCGCGGGCCCAGAACGGAGGAAACACAGCAGGAGGCUCAGCAGUCAGGCCUGAAAGCUGGGAAGACGGAGAGCAGGAAGCAGGGGCCAGGGAGAGGUGUGGAACAGAAAGGGGUGUGGACAACCGAUGGGAACAAGGCCGUGAGGUUGAAGCCAACGCAGGCACUAAGGAGGGCCUCAGGCACUUUGGAUGGCCGGCCCUUCUCACCUACUCUCAGUGUCUGGGCUCAGCUGGAAGACUGGGCUUCACAGACGCCAAGGGCAUGGGCUGGAUUCUCUGGAGGCCGCUCAUCUUCCCUUGGGUUUGUUGAGGGGAUUCAGAGGCAGGAAAUAGAAAUCUCACUUGCUAUUAAGCUUGACCUUAGUCUAAGACCCUUCAGAUCCAGGGGAAGACCCCGGGGACAUGGGCGGGGCCUCUCCCCAUCUUUCUGCUCUGCCGUGCUCCUUCCAAGAGCGGGAGGGAAGCUCUGUGGACUCAGGAGGUUACAUUGCUCUCCAAGCCUCAUUCCUCGUGUUGGGUGGUGA